CUCCCGACCCGCACCCACGCGCCUCCCACCCCCGCGCCUAUCGGCGGUUCCUCCCUGCCGACCCCACCGCCAUCCCCGUGCUCCCCCCGCUCCGUGCACCCCCUCACGCUGGCCUCGCCUCGAAGUUCACGGCGACACCCCCAGCCGGCACCUGCACGACGAUCCGCUCCGAUCCGAGGCCCUCGCCGUCGGCCCGUCGCCGACCUCCCGCUACCGUGCCGAAUCCCCGACUCACAUGUCAGGUGGGGUGGCCGUCUCCGCCAGCGCGGCCGUCUCCGCCCACGCGCUCCAGGUGGCUCCAUCAAGUCGCCUCCGCCCCAGUGCUCCAGGCGACGCCCACUGGCGUUGUUGAGGUGAUGACGGAUCAGUCGUCUCGAUCCGGCUGCCGGCGCCGUCGAGGAGUUCCAGCCGCGCUCGUCGAUCCCCCCGCCGCCUCUGCUAACCUCGUGGCUCCUCUCAUGGUAGCCCCCAGCCUGCUGUGCACUCUAACCCGCCCCAGACUUGCUUCCCCUUUCAAGUACGAGCAUCCCUGGAGUAAACGUCCAGCUACAAUCCACUGAAGCAUGACGCCAAUCUUACCAACAAUGGCAUCCUUCAGGCCUGCAAUGCUAUCCGCCCAUCAAGUGUUUGGUAGAAUGCUUAGGAGAGAUAGGAUACUAUUCUCCCCUAAUAUUUCUUGGAAUAUCAAUAAUUGUAUAAAAUGUAUCACAUACUUUCAAAUUGAUCUUCCAUUCCUAUUGUGGAAAUCCAGAGAUAAGACUAAAAGGUCAUAAACAGGCAGGGAAAGAGGCUGAUUCUAGAGAGAUGUCAACGGUGUUUCUAAGUCCGAGAUCUAACACAAGUGCUGCAGACUGAGAGGAUGCACACAGGCCUCCAGGAGGUGCAGCUACGGCACACCCGUGGGGUUGGAGGCCAACUCAAAUGACAUAUGGAGUGUAGUUUAGCUGUUCAAGAAAAUGUCCAAGUAGCAGUCCGUAUAAUUGUUGAUUUGAUAUUAUCUUAUUGAUUGAAAGUUUCAACUUGAAUUGAUAUCGACUACUAAUUUUUACAUAGAUGAUUGUUCCGACAAGCUUGCAGUUCAUACUAAUGACAAACAAUCCAAUGCUUUCAUUGCUUGCAGAGGAUGUCAAGCACUUGCAUUUGCAUUCAGGGAAGAAAAACCCUUGGUGAUUAUUGGAGAAACAAUGGACCAAAGCGUGAAUGGAUGCAUCGUCAGCAGCAAAUAUAGGUUGUGGCAUGUAGAAACUGGUAUGAGAAGCCACGUACCAGGUCUGGAAUCUUUUUCUCUACAUGAUUGUUUCAUGUUGUUGAUAGACAAUUAGGGCCCUAUUAGAUGGCGAUCCUUUGAACUUUGUUGUAUUAGGUAAUCUUCUACAUAUACAUCCAUGGGUCAUAUUGGGUGGUGAUUCUAUGGACUCUGUCUAGAAGGUGCUUUUACAAUUCCUGUGUGUUGUGUAUGCUUAACAUUUGCACAUGAAUUCAAUCAUGGUUCAAAUUUAUGCA